rnacentral:rRNA from 1 species
UANGCGGAGGAAAAGAAACUACAAGGAUUCCCCUAGUAACUGCGAGUGAGCGGGAAAAGCUCAAAUUUAAAAUCUGGUGGUCUUUGGCCAUCCGAGUUGUAAUUUAGAGAAGCGUCUUCCGCGCUGGACCGUGCACAAGUCUCCUGGAAUGGAGCGUCGUAGAGGGUGAGAAUCCCGUCUUUGGCACGGACGCACCAGGGCUUCUGUGAUGCGCUCUCGAAGAGUCGAGUUGUUUGGGAAUGCAGCUCAAAAUGGGUGGUGAACUCCAUCUAAAGCUAAAUAUUGGCGAGAGACCGAUAGCGAACAAGUACCGUGAGGGAAAGAUGAAAAGCACUUUGGAAAGAGAGUGAAACAGUACGUGAAAUUGUUGAAAGGGAAACGCUUGAAGUCAGUCGCGUCGCCCGAGACUCAGCCUUGCCUUGGCUUGGUGUACUUCUCGGCCGACGGGUCAGCAUCAAUUUUGCCCCUUGGAUAAUGGCGAGGGAAAUGUGGCACCUUCACGGGUGUGUUAUAGUCUCUCGUCGCAUGCAAGGGUCGGGAUUGAGGAACUCANCACGCNCCUUUCGGCGUCGGGGUUCGCCCACGAUACGUGCUUAGGAUGUUGGCGUAAUGGCUUUAAACGACC